rnacentral:rRNA from 1 species
UACGAAGGUCUCAAGCGUUGUUCGGAUUCAUUGGGCGUAAAGGGUGCGUAGGUGGCAUGGUAAGUCGGAUGUGAAAUCCCGGGGCUCAACCCCCGGAACUGCAUUCGAUACUGCUGCGCUAGAGUACUGGAGAGGAGAUUGGAAUUUACGGUGUAGCAGUGAAAUGCGUAGAUAUCGUAAGGAAGACCAGUGGCGAAGGCGGAUCUCUGGACAGUUACUGACGCUGAGACGCGAAAGCGUGGGGAGCAACAGG